rnacentral:rRNA from 1 species
AUGUUGAAGCAAGGGUUGAUUGUUCCAAGUGUGAGCCCCUUCUCCUCCCCAGUUCUACUUGUGAAGAAGAAGGAUCAAACAUGGCGCCUUUGUGUCGACUUUCGUCACCUGAAUGCAAUCACAGUGAAGAAGUGUUUUCCCCUACCUGUCAUCGAUGAAUUGUUGGAUGAGCUUGCAGGCUCGCACUGGUUCUCCAAAUUGGACUUGCGCGCGGGAUACCACCAGAUACGUCUGGUGGAAGAAGACGAAGAGAAGACGGCCUUCACAACCCACCAAGGACACUUUCAGUUUCGAGUGCUGCCAUACGGGGUUACAGGAGGCCCUAGCAUGUUUCAGUCGGUUGUG